rnacentral:rRNA from 1 species
UAGGGAAUCUUCCGCAAUGGACGAAAGUCUGACGGAGCAACGCCGCGUGAGUGAAGAAGGAUUUCGGUUCGUAAAACUCUGUUGUUAGGGAAGAAAAAAUGUAUAGUAACUAUAUACAAAAGAGACGGUACCUAACCAGAAAGCCACGGCUAACUACGUGCCAGCAGCCGCGGUAAUACGUAGGUGGCAAGCGUUGUCCGGAAUUAUUGGGCGUAAAGCGCGCGCAGGUGGUUUAGAAAGUCGGAUGUGAAAGCCCACGGCUCAACCGUGGAGGGUCAUUGGAAACUAAUAAACUUGAGUGCAGGAGAGAAAAGUGGAAUUCCUAGUGUAGCGGUGAAAUGCGUAGAGAUUAGGAGGAACACCGGUGGCGAAAGCGGCUUUUUGGCCUGCAACUGACACUGAGGCGCGAAAGAGUGGGGAGCAAACAGG